rnacentral:lncRNA from 1 species
UCCCAACCUUAUAUAGCUUAAUGUCAACCUAGAGAGUUGACCAAAACCUGCUCUUUGAUUUGGACUUCAACCUUAGCCUUUGGAAAGCCUUCAUGGUUUUUAGCAUUUCAGAAAGUAUUUAUGAUCAAGAAUAAUAGGAACCACGAGGAUACAAUAAAAUCUAAUCAGCAUAAUGACAGUAAAGCAAAGGCACACUACUUGAGUCUGUUAUUUAUAACUGAAUAUUCAUUUUCAAACACAGGGGAGCAUUCCAGACAUAAGGUGAAAAUCUAUUCAUGUGCUUUACAUGUUGAAAUUCUAGUAGUUAGAAAAUCCUGCAAUAACCCACAAUGACUCUGAAAACUGUUAUUUUUGUGCAGAAUAAUUUUAAAUAGAUUUCUAAAAAUGCUCAGAAAACAUUUUCUUAAAGCAGUGAAUAAAGCUUCAGUUUGUGGCACUGUUUCAAUAAAAUUUUAUCUGUUGGUAGGUGAUAAGAGAAAAAUAAGUCAUAGUAAAUUACUACUAGAGAAAAGGGAACAUUUAAUAUCUGGGUGGCACCAUCACUAUUAGCAGUAUCUGAGACCGCGAGAGCUGUCCAAAACUAUGUUGUUCCUCAAUUAACCUCAAUGGAAAGUGAAUGACUAUCCAGUAUUACAGAUUUACAGUGUAGUGAUCGUAGAAGCAAUCUAGUCGCUGAUAGUACUGAGCAAUUAUUAUUCCUGUAACUUGAUGUCAGAUUUUUAAAACUUUGUCAACUAAAAACUUUAUUGACAAAACUACCAUAAUAACUAAAUUUCUGUUGGACUGGAAUUCAUUCUAUGAUCAGCGGAAACUGAGAUUAGCCCUGACUUUGUUGAAAUUUCAUGUCAACACUUGUCCACUGAGUACUUUGUGUCCCACUGAACAGUUCAAUAGGACCAGGUAAUAACUGUGAAAAUCAGGUUCAAACCCCAUUACUGGCUUCCAGCCUUGUACCUUUCUCCCCUCUAAGAAUACUUGCCUCUACCGGUAGGGAAAGAGUUGGACACAGAGAAAUCCUUAGCUUUCCAAAUUAUUUGGGUAGUACUAUUUCUCCUAUUAUCAACUAGAGUUUCCUCAAAGCCUCAGAAUUAGUAGUGAGAUUAUGGCCAAUUCAAAUGACCCAGAAAUAGAAUGUGUAUUUCCUCCUAUAACCUUGGUAGCCUUCAUGUCUUGGACCAAAAAGAAAAAAAAAAAAAAA